UACAGAGGGUGCAAGCGUUGUUCGGAAUUAUUGGGCGUAAAGAGUGUGUAGGCGGUGCUCUAAGUUUGGUGUGAAAUCUCCCGGCUCAACUGGGAGGGUGCAUCGAAAACUGGAGUGCUCGAGGGUUGGAGAGGUAAGCGGAAUUCCUGGUGUAGCGGUGAAAUGCGUAGAUAUCAGGAGGAACACCUGUGGUGUAGACAGCUUACUGGACCACUUCUGACGCUGAGACACGAAAGCGUGGGUAGCAAACAGG
rnacentral:rRNA from 1 species